rnacentral:miRNA from 1 species
AAGGAUUACCUUGGUGC